rnacentral:lncRNA from 1 species
GGGGCCAAGGACAAGGGAGGAUACAUCUGGAUAAGAAGCUACAAACCAAAAGGAACAGAGGAGCAAUGGGGAACAAGUGUAAACACCUUCAAACACACCCANAACCUCUAAUUCCAUCCUCUUCUUGACUCCAUUAUUCACAAAUUUUUUUUUUUCUGUAUUUUUUUUUUCAUUUUGUCUCUUUCCUUUUCUCUCUUUUCAGAACACAACUCUAAG